rnacentral:rRNA from 1 species
AUGAACGCUGGCGGCGUGCCUAAUACAGGCAAGUCGGGCGAACAGACGAGGAGUUUGCUCCUCUGACGUUAGCGGCGGACGGGUGAGUAACACGUGGAUAACCUACCUAUAAGACUGGGUUAACUUCGGGAAACCGGAGCUAAUACCGGAUAAUAUAUUGAACCGCAUGGUUCAAUAGUGAAAGAUGGGUUUGCUGGCACUUAGUGAUGGAUCCGCGCCGCAUUAGCUAGUUGGUAAGGUAACGGCUUACCAACGCAACGAUGCUUAGCCGACCUGAGUGUGUGAUAGGCGACACUGGAUGUGCGACACGGUCCAUCCUCCUACGGCAGGCAGCAGUAGCGAAUAUUCCGCACAGGGCGCGAGCCUGACCGACCACUGCCGCGUAAGUGAUGAUGAUCCUAGGUUCGUAACAAUCUGUUAUUAGCGAGAAACAAAUGUGUACUUAAAUGUGCACGUAUUGACGGUACCUAAUCAAAAAGCCCCGGCUAACUACGUG